GGAGUCUAGCAUGUGCGCGAGUCAUUGGGACUUGCGAAACCUAAAGGCGAAAUGAAAGUGAAGGAACGCUUGAGCGUUUCGAGGGAGGAUGGGUCGCGCCAAGACGCGGCCCCGCACUCCCGGGGCGUCUCGUUCUCCAUCGGAGAUGAGGCGCACCCAGAGCGUACACGCUGGGACCCGAAAGAUGGUGAACUAUGCCUGGUCAGGACGAAGUCAGGGGAAACCCUGGUGGAGGUCCGUAGCGAUUCUGACGUGCAAAUCGAUCGUAGGAACUGGGUAUAGGGGCGAAAGACUAAUCGAACCAUCUAGUAGCUGGUUCCCUCCGAAGUUUCCCUCAGGAUAGCUGGCGCUCGCUUUGCGAGUCUCAUCCGGUAAAGCGAAUGAUUAGAGGCAUUGGGGUCGAAACGGCCUCAACCUAUUCUCAAACUUUAAAUGGGUGAGAUCUCCGGCUUGCUUGAACAGUGAAGCCGCGAGAUCGGAUCAGAGUGCCAAGUGGGCCAUUUUUGGUAAGCAGAACUGGCGCUGUGGGAUGAACCAAACGCCGAGUUAAAGCGCCUAAAUCGACGCUUAUGGGAUACCAUGAAAGGCGUUGGUAACUUAAGACAGCAGGACGGUGGCCAUGGAA
rnacentral:rRNA from 1 species